AUCAGGCCGGACCUCGUCCGCGCCAGGCCGGCGCCGCCGCAUCACGGGAAGGUGAAUCCGGUCCGACGCCCGUCGAUAACCUGGCGUCACG
rnacentral:ncRNA from 1 species